rnacentral:rRNA from 1 species
UACGGGGGGUGCAAGCGUUAUUCGGAAUUAUUGGGCGUAAAGCGAGUGUAGGCGGUCUGUUAAGUCAGAUGUGAAAGCCCGGGGCUCAACCCCGGAAGUGCAUUUGAAACUAUCAGACUUGAGUAUGGGAGAGGAAAGUGGAAUUCCUGGUGUAGAGGUGAAAUUCGUAGAUAUCAGGAGGAACACCGGUGGCGAAGGCGACUUUCUGGACCAAUACUGACGCUCAGACUCGAAGGCGUGGGUAGCAAACAGG